rnacentral:rRNA from 1 species
UACGAAGGGGGCUAGCGUUGCUCGGAGUCACUGGGCGUAAAGCGCGGGCAGGCGGUUCUGCCAGUCUGAUGUGAAAUCUCCUCGCUCAACGGGGAGCAGCCAUUGGAAACUACAGAACUGGAGUCUGGCAGAGGUAGGCGGAAUUCCGGGUGGAGUGGUGAAAUGCGUAGAUAUCGGGAAGAACACCAGUGGCGAAAGCGGCUCUCUGGGGACCACCUGACGCUGAGGCGCGAAAGCGUGGGGAGCGAACCGG